UGCCGGGAUUUAAAAUACAAUCAUUAAAAGUCUUGGUUUUUAAUCAUAUUUUAACGUAAUCGUAAGCGCGCCGAUGACUUAUGCUUUAUCUAAUAACCAUCCGACAAUAAGAAGAUAAAACGCACAGACGUUCAAUUGUACUCAUUCGUGAGAUAAAUUAUCUAUGUUAAUCGUAUAUAUUCGAAUUAUUUUUGUAGACAACACAAAAAGUUAUAAAUUUAUUUUUAAUAAAUGCAUUUUCGGACUGAUAAGGUGAACAAAUUAAAGUACAAUAAUCUGUAAAGACAAUAUGUUGGUGUACUCUUAUUGCCCUUUUACUAUCUCUGCUAUGACUAGGUUUAUACGAUGUGUGUAUUCACGGUUUUGUGGCAAUACUCGUAGAUGGCUUGUUGAAAGGUAAAUUGUUAUUUGCACUUCGGUAUUUAACCACGCCUCUAGGGCACACCUUGCCAGGUGUGACUGUCUAUUCGGAUCAGUGGGAGCAUUUAAUACACACAUUAAAAAUACAAAUUCAAGUUGGUGAUUUGGGAAUUAUUUAAUUAUAUUUGGUGCUAUUAUUUAUUUGAAUUCAAAUAAGUUAAUUUACUUAGAAAUACACAAUUUUCGGUUAAAGACGGG
rnacentral:lncRNA from 1 species